rnacentral:misc_RNA from 1 species
UGAAGAGGGAGAAGGGGA